rnacentral:rRNA from 1 species
AUUAGGCAUGCAAGUCGAACGAAUCCCAGGGGGCAACUCCUGGGGGGAAGUGGCGGAAAGGGGCAGUAAGGCAUGGACAACCUGCCCCGAGGUCCGGGAUAGCCUUCCUAACGGAUGGGUAAUACCGGGAGUGGUAGCGAGGGGGCAUCCCUUUGCUAGCAAAGCUCAGGCGCCUCGGGAGGGGUUCAUGUGAUAUUAGCUUGUUGGUGGGGUAACGGCUCACCAAGGCCAAGAUGUCUAGCAGGUGUGAGAGCACGACCUGCGCCACUGGCACUGGGACACUGGCCAGACUCCUACGGGAGGCUGCAGUCGAGGAUCUUCGGCAAUGGGCGCAAGCCCUGACCGAGCGACGCCGCGUGAGCGAUGA